AGCCCUUCCCGACCAUGGGGAGCUCCAGCGUCCAGGUCGUCCCUGAACAGAGGAUGUUCCCAGGCAUAGAGUGGAAUCCAGACUUUGGCCUUUUGAAGUCGACUUGUGUUUCUGGGGCUGAAUCUCCCAAGGGAACUGGUUCUGGUGUGUUGAGAUGCAUUGGUGUGGGGGCACUGUGGCUGUGGGGCUGGCCUGGGCAUUGCAGGGUGGGUGUGGAGCAGCAUCCCUGACCUCUACCCAUUGAUGCCAGCAGCCCCUCCCCAGGUGUGACAACUAGAUACGUCUCUAGGCAUCACCAGUAUCCCCUGGGAGACUCCCAGGUGAGAGUCCCAAGUGGAUGCUAUUGCAGUAUUCACGGCCGGAUGCUACACGUCGCUAUUCCAUAUUCCAUUAUGUGAACAGACCACAGCUGACUUGUCCUGGUAGCCGUAAUUUGGCUGUUUCCAGUUGCAGACUAUUAAACACAGUCACUUUCCUGUGCUUCUCAGAUUAUCAUAUUCAGAAACAUAUUUGAGGGAGAUGCAAGCAGGCGGGUGGCUUCUCUUGGAGGCAGGAACUUUCUGGUAGGGAUUGUGGCACACAACUGUUGUUUCUCUAGGAUUUGCUGUGAAUGAGGGAAAAACAGUUGACUGUGAAUGAAGCAAGGUUCAUUUUCUUCCCAUGGUCAUUCCUUGGUGCACUGUAGACCCAGGAUAUUCCUACUCUGCAGGCUGUUUAAAUAAUACACACACACACACGCACACACAUGUAGCCAAACAUCGUUUGAAAUCCCAUCCCCCAGAGAUGACCGGUGUCAACAUUGUGGUGACUUCUUUUGGAGGCUUCUCUAGGUGUGUGUGUGCACACAUGAUUUUAUAUAAAUGGGGUUCUGCUAUCUGCGCUAUUUUGCAGCUUCCGUUUUUAAAUUUACCAUGUCUAUAUUUCCAUGCCAGUAGCUCAGACUGUAUCAUCAUUUUCACGGCUGCUUAAUAGUCUACAUUUGUCAUCCUGCUGGUGUGCGUCUGGCGUCGGGUUUGCAUUCUCACAGCGCCAUAAUGAGUCUUCCGUGUUCUCGCUUGGUUAUCUCUGUAGGACGAAUUCUUAGAGGUAGAAUUGCUCUGUUAAAUGUCUACACAUUUUUUUCUCAUUUUAAAAUUUAUUUUGGGUGUUUAAGCCAGAUCUGUAUUUAUUUACCGAGGGACCAGGAAGAAUUGUAGACUCAUAGGCGCAAAAAAAUUAGAGCUAGGGGGACUCAGGUUACUUGGACCAAACUUCUCAUCACCCUGCAUCCCACCACCAGCCAUGUUUUAAAAGCCAAUGUGUUAUUGGAGUAUAAGCAUGCUUGCAGAAAAGCACGUGCAUAUGUGUACGGUUUGACAGUUUUCCCAAAGUGAACAUACCCAAGAAAUCACCCCUCAGGUCAAGAAGCAGCACAUGGCCGGCACCACGGAAUGCCCUUCUAGACGCCAGGGGAACAGAGCUGCCGGACGUUCUAGUGAGUGCAUUUCUGCUGGUGAACCUGACUGUGCCCUUCCUUGUGGGAUCUGCCCAGGAUGGCGUCGCUGGGUCGAGGGGCAUGUUCAGAAUGCAAGUGGUGCCUGGUGCCUUUUCCAGAGUGGGCACUGGUUCACUCUCCCCUUGGCAGAGCGCGAGACCCCAGCGUCCAGCGUUGGGUGUGGCCCGUCUUUUGUCUCAUUCUGUUUUGUUUUGCUUUUCCUGAAUGACGUUGGUGACCUUUUUAUGUUUAUUGGACAUCAAUAUCCUUUUACAAAAAUCUACUCAAGUCUUCUGCUCAUUUUUCUGUUGUGCUGUCUGCUUUUCUUUCUUACUGAUUUUUAAAGUAGUUUUUGUGUAUUUUGAAUAUGAGUCAUUUGUUUGAUACACGUAUUGCAAAUCUCUCUUCCACUGGACCUUGCCUUUUAACUCUGAUGGUGUCUGCUGGUGGACAGCCGUUUUCAGUGCCAGUGCAGUCCGGUUUAUCAAGCUGUUCUGUGUCCCGUGCUUUUGUGCCUGGUGAAGGAAUCCUGCCUAACCCGAGGCCACGAAAGUAGUCUCCUGUGUUACCUGGAACAAUUGUUGUUUUCGCUUUCGUGUUUGGGCCUGUGGUCCUUCUCUACUUGUUUCUGUGUCUGCAGUGCAGUAGGGUUGAGACUGACCAUUUUCCCAGACGGAUGUGUCAUUUACCCAGCUCCACGUGUGGGAAGACCGACCUCCCCCAGUGCUGCGGUGCCACCUUUGCCGUCAGUCACGGGAGGGGCGGCGUGGCUCCUUCUGGACUCUGCUCUGUCCGUCAUCCCACUUGCAUGCCGGCACGAUUGCAACUGCCGCGUUCUAUGCCAAGGCCUGAGAUCGGCUCGUGUAAACCCUCCAGCUUGUUAUUCCAGGCGGCCUCAGCUAUUUUUGGUGAGAUACGCAUUUAAACCUUUGAUGCACAUCGUGAAACUGCCCUUCAGAAAGGUCGUAGCCAUUUAUCCAGCCACGGGCGGGCCUUGGCACUGCCGCCUCUCCCAAGCCAUUGCAGACUCUGAUGCGCAGGAAGUCACACCUGGUUGUCAUUCGAAGCUGCGUUGCUUUGUUAUGGGUGAGGCUUCCUAAGUGAAUUGGCCAUCUGCAUUUUUCUUUUAUGUCGUACACCUGCUUCUUUCCUGAUUUCUCCAGUGGAGUGUUUGCUUCGUUAGUGACUUCUGAGAGCUCUUGAUAUAGUUCCGACGUUAACUCAUUGCCUGCUGCUGCAAUCUCCCAGGCUUAUUUUUUAUAUUGACUAUUAUAGCCAGUGCAGAUGAAUGCUUGAACCUGUAGCGAGAAUCUGUUCCUCUAACUCCGGUCUCCGUCCCUCCCCUUCCUCUGCUCCUGCCUCCCUUUGUCAAGACCCUUGGGAUCACACUGGACACGUGUGGCUAACCCAGGAUCACCUCCCACCUCCAGACGUUUAAUUUACCCACACCGGAAAGGUCUGUUUUGCUAUGUAAAGUGACAUUCCCAGGCUCUGGGGUUAGGUUGUGAGCCUCUCAUACGGUGACAUUUCCAGGCUCUGAGGUUAGGUUGUGGACGUCGUCGUAUGGUGACAUUUCCAGGCUGUGGUGGAGGUUGUGGGCCCCUCGUACGGUGACAUGCUGGUGGAGGUUGUGGGCCCCGUCGUACGGUGACAUUUCCAGGCUCUGGUGGAGGUUGUGGGCCCCUCGUACGAUGACAUGCUGGUGGAGGUUGUGGACCCCGUCGUAUGGUGACAUUUCCAGGCUGUGGUGGAGGUUGUGGGCCCCUCGUACAGUGACAUGCUGGUGGAGGUUGUGGACCCCGUCGUAUGGUGACAUUUCCAGGCUCUGGUAGAGGUUGUGGGCCCCUCGUACGGUGACAUGCUGGUGGAGGUUGUGGACCCCGUCGUAUGGUGACAUUUCCAGGCUGUGGUGGAGGUUGUGGGCCCCUCGUACGGUGACAUGCUGGUGGAGGUUGUGGACCUCUCUGGCGGAGGGUGGACAUCGUGUUUUGUCUGUCGCAGAGGGUAAAUUAAGAAUCCGUAGGAAGCCCUUCCAGAACGCACUGCUGCAACUCUCGAGGCAGCGGCUGGAUCUCCAAGAAUGCAGCUAGAUCUCAGAGUGCAUCCCCAACGUUGCAGCAUGCGCAGGACCUUCCUCCUGAGGGCACCCACCUUGGUGAAUGGGAUUUUCUGUAUCCUGAUGUCUCUGCUCCAGUUGACGUGACAGACACAGGGUCAGACAGAAGCUUGCUGGACAUCAUGCUUCCCCCGAGGCCAAGGCCGGACGAGGGGUCUCUUCAGCUGCACAUCGGGCAGGUGAGGGGUGUCAGCCACGUCCCGGGGAACAAUAGCCUGCCCGCCUCAGCGGAACGGCGAACUCACUUUCCUGUGGUCUUUGGCAUCUGUCGUGUGGAUGCCACGGAGUGUGGCAAGUGACACCUGCGGUGUGGCACACUGAGACCGUAAAGAGCGGAAGACACCAGUACUUGACCCCAUGGCUGUGGGCUCGUCGCUUUGAAUAUGCCAGGGUGUGUGGAGCACAGGACAGCUAUUGUGUGGGGGAGACACUGAGCAUGGCCUCUGCAGCCUGUUGUUCUGGGGUGGCCUUGGUUAUGGCCACCUCUGUCACAGUGCACAGUGCGUCGGAGCCUCCUUCCAGAGGAGCGCUCGCCCACAGUCAGGGCCCCACCGAGGGCCACUCUUUUCACCAGGGUUUCUGAACGGGCCGCAUGGGAGCCCGGAACACAGGAAGGGCAACACCUCAUCUCAGCCCACCACACUGGGUCCCGGGGACCCUGGGGCGGGGUGGUCCCAACUCUGAGCUCCACUGCCAGUAGCUCUGCUGCCUUGGGGGGUCCUGUUGAAGCUACUCCCCGCCUCCCACCCUCCCCUCUGCACCAUGUUGUUUGUUGGGGGCUCUGACAGUGGAACCCCCUCAUGUCUGGGGCAGCCUUGGGUACCGGGUGCCACCCCCGUGCGGCUCAACACUGGACGGUGGUCUUCAUCCCUUUAGGCCUGGCUUAGCCUCUCCCAGGUCUGAGCCCAGGUGCGGUAGGAUUUGGGGAGGCCGUGGGCAUGACUGGAACGGGGCUGUGUUCUGACAUGUUACUGGGAUGAUCAUUUCCACAGCUCGAGACAUAAAUGCAGUCCCUCACCCA